rnacentral:lncRNA from 1 species
GUGCAACCUGGCACGUCAUGUCCUCGUGUGUCCCAGUAUGACCCAGUACAUCCCAGUGUGUCCUGAUGCCGUCUGGCACAUCACAUCCUCCUGUGUCCCAUCCCAGUACCUCCCAGUACGUCCCAGCACCUCCCAGUGUGUCCUGAUGCCGUCUGGCACAUCACAUCCUCCUGUGUCCCAUCCCAGUACCUCCCAGUACGUCCCAGCACCUCCCAGUGUGUCCUGAUGCCGUCUGGCAUAUCACAUCCUCCUGUGUCCCAUCCCAGUACCUCCCAGUACAUCCCAGUACCUCCCAGUACCUCCCAGUGUGUCCUGAUGCCGCCUGGCACAUCACAUCCUCCUCUGUCCCACUGCAUCCCAUCCCAGUACCUCCCAGUACCUCCCAGUAUGUCCCAGUAUGUCCUGAUGCAGCCUGGCACAUCACAUCCUCAUGUAUCCCAUCCCAGUAUGUCCCAGUAUGUCCCAGUAUGUCUUGAUGCCACCUGG